rnacentral:misc_RNA from 1 species
UGUUCAUAGAAAAACUAUACACCAUAGUACGAAAAGAAAAUCCUACCACGUAAUGAAACUAAUAAUUAAAAGAAAUGAAGGCAAAAUUGAAGCAUAUGAUUCAUUCCAAGAUGUCUCCAACGGUUGCUUCGAAUCUCCUCUUUUCAAGAUGCCUCAGAAUCAACUAAAUACAUCCAAGAUCACAUCUAAAGCUAUGUUCUGGCGCCUAGGCGCAUGUAUAAA